CCAUUAAUAAGAUGCAACCUCCUACCAGUGCCAACAUCAACAUCUGGGUUUUUUUCUCAACCUUUGAAUUUCUAUCCUCAUUUCCUUGUUGUUUCCUUCGGCUUUCCCUAGUUCCCUUAACAAUUUGGAAAUCGUGUUCUUUGUAUACUCCGGCAAGGGCGGAUUGUACCAUAAAAAAAAUUUGCAACAAUGAGCAGUCUGCAUUCAAAAUUAAUCCAUCAUUAGUAAUAAAACUUAAAUAAAUACACCCUAACCAUUACAAAGAUUAUUAAAAUUUAAGCAUUUGGCUAGUCUUAUUACACCGUAAUUUCUUCAUCCAUUAAACGGAUUUGCUGCAGUCCAAGAAGACACUAUUCUACAGGAUUCUUGGCGAUGGCACUUCAUGAUUUCUCUCCAUUGUAAUAUUCAACUUUUCCUGGGCUAGAUCCUCCGAAAUGUGAACUUCCAUAGGCCUCCUUCCUUGAAGAUCGAUUUGUAGUUGAGCUGGACGAUCCCGCAUCCAAAUUUUCCAUCUGCUAUGCACUUCAAAAGGAUGAACUUGAAUACAUUAUAGUUGUAAGCUGGUAAUUGGGAAUCGGUUUCAAGCCCCUAAUUUCUUCCGCUAUUUGGAUGCGAAAUGGGUUAUGUCUUGAAAACCCCUAAUUUCACAGGCUUCCCCUUAUUUGGAUACAA
rnacentral:lncRNA from 1 species